rnacentral:rRNA from 1 species
AUAAACGCUGGCGGCGCACAUAAGACAUGCAAGUCGAACGGAAGUCGUUAUACAAGGAGAGAAGAUUUAUCGGAUUGAAUUAUAUAACAAUGGCUUUAGUGGCGGACUGGUGAGUAACGCGUAAGAAAUCUACCUAUUAGAGGGGAACAACAAUGAGAAAUCAUUGCUAAUACCGCAUAUGCCAUAAACAUCGCAUGAUGAAAGUGGGAAAGGAGCAAUCCGCUGAUAGAUGAUCUUGCGUCUGAUUAGUUAGUUGGUGGGGUAAUGGCCUACCAAGACGACGAUCAGUAGCCGGACUGAGAGGUUGAACGGCCACAUUGGGACUGAGAUACGGCCCAGACUCCUACGGGAGGCAGCAGUCGGGAAUAUUGCGCAAUGGAGGAAACUCUGACGCAGUGACGCCGCGUGCAGGAAGAAGGUUUUCGGAUUGUAAACUGCUUUAGACAGGGAAGAGAAAGGACAGUACCUGUAGAAUAAGCUCCGGCUAACUACGUGCCAGCAGCCGCGGUAAUACGUAGGGAGCGAGCGUUAUCCGGAUUUAUUGGGUGUAAAGGGUGCGUAGACGGGAAUACAAGUUAGUUGUGAAAUACCUCGGCUUAACUGAGGAACUGCAACUAAAACUAUAUUUCUUGAGUGCAGGAGAGGUAAGUGGAAUUCCUAGUGUAGCGGUGAAAUGCGUAGAUAUUAGGAGGAACACCAGUGGCGAAGGCGACUUACUGGACUGAAACUGACGUUGAGGCACGAAAGUGUGGGGAGCAAACAGGAUUAGAUACCCUGGUAGUCCACACCGUAAACGAUGGAUACUAGGUGUAGGAGAUAUUAAGUCUUCUGUGCCGUCGCAAACGCAGUAAGUAUCCCACCUGGGGAGUACGGCCGCAAGGUUGAAACUCAAAGGAAUUGACGGGGGCCCGCACAAGCGGAGGAACAUGUGGUUUAAUUCGAUGAUACGCGAGGAACCUUACCCGGGCUUAAAUUGCAGAUGAAUUACGGUGAAAGCCGUAAGCCGCAAGGCAUCUGUGAAGGUGCUGCAUGGUUGUCGUCAGCUCGUGUCGUGAGAUGUUGGGUUAAGUCCCGCAACGAGCGCAACCCCUGUUUCUAGUUGCCAGCAUGUAAAGAUGGGAACUCUAGAAAGACUGCCGUAGAUAAUACGGAGGAAGGUGGGGAUGACGUCAAAUCAUCAUGCCCUUUAUGUCCUGGGCUACACACGUACUACAAUGGCUGUAACAGAGGGAAGCGAACCAGUGAUGGUAAGCGAAACCCGAAAAGCAGUCACAGUUCGGAUUGAAGGCUGAAACUCGCCUUCAUGAAGCCGGAAUUGCUAGUAAUGGCAGGUCAGCAUACUGCCGUGAAUACGUUCCCGGGCCUUGUACACACCGCCCGUCACACCAUGAGAGUUGGGGAUACCCGAAGCCUGUGAGCCAACAGUUAAAUGGGGCAGCAGUCGAAGGUAGAAUCAAUGAUUGGGGUG